CACGUAGGGGACGAGCGUUGUCCGGAAUCAUUGGGCGUAAAGCGCGCGUAGGCGGCCCGGAAAGUCGGAUGUGAAAUCCCGGGGCUCAACCCCGGGCCUGCAUCCGAUACUCCCGGGCUGAAGGCAGGUAGGGGAGAUCGGAAUUCCUGGUGUAGCGGUGAAAUGCGCAGAUAUCAGGAGGAACACCGGUGGCGAAGGCGGAUCUCUGGGCCUUGCCUGACGCUGAGGCGCGAAAGCUAGGGGAGCGAACAGG
rnacentral:rRNA from 1 species